rnacentral:rRNA from 1 species
GAUGAACGCUAGCUACAGGCUUAACACAUGCAAGUCGAGGGGCAGCAGGGAUUUAGCUUGCUAAAUCCGCUGGCGACCGGCGCACGGGUGCGUAACGCGUAUCCAACUUUCCCGUUACUCAGGGAUAGCCUUCCGAAAGGGAGAUUAAUACCUGAUGGUGUUUGAAAUCCGCAUGUUCUUCAAACUAAAGAUUUAUCGGUAACGGAUAGGGAUGCGUGACAUUAGAUAGUAGGCGGGGUAACGGCCCACCUAGUCUACGAUGUCUAGGGGUUCUGAGAGGAAGGUCCCCCACACUGGAACUGAGACACGGUCCAGACUCCUACGGGAGGCAGCAGUGAGGAAUAUUGGUCAAUGGUCGGAAGACUGAACCAGCCAAGUAGCGUGAAAGGAUGAAGGUUCAUGGAUUGUAAACUUCUUUUAUACGGGAAUAAAGCCCACUACGUGUAGUGGUUUGUAUGUACCGUAUGAAUAAGCACCGGCUAAACUCCGUGCCAGCAGCCG